GAUGAACGCUGGCGGCGUGCCUAAUACAUGCAAGUCGAGCGAACGGACGAGAAGCUUGCUUCUCUGAUGUUAGCGGCGGACGGGUGAGUAACACGUGGAUAACCUACCUAUAAGACUGGGAUAACUUCGGGAAACCGGAGCUAAUACCGGAUAAUAUUUUGAACCGCAUGGUUCAAAAGUGAAAGACGGUCUUGCUGUCACUUAUAGAUGGAUCCGCGCUGCAUUAGCUAGUUGGUAAGGUAACGGCUUACCAAGGCAACGAUGCAUAGCCGACCUGAGAGGGUGAUCGGCCACACUGGAACUGAGACACGGUCCAGACUCCGACGGGAGGCAGCAGUAGGGAAUCUUCCGCAAUGGGCGAAAGCCUGACGGAGCAACGCCGCGUGAGUGAUGGAGGUCUUCGGAUCGUAAAACUCUGUUAUUAGGGAAGAACAUAUGUGUAAGUAACUGUGCACAUCUUGACGGUACCUAAUCAGAAAGCCACGGCUAACUACGUG
rnacentral:rRNA from 1 species